rnacentral:rRNA from 1 species
AACGUGGGAGGCAAGCGUUAUCCGGAGUUACUGGGCGUAAAGCGUGCGUAGGCGGGUCGGUAAGUGGGUGGUGAAAGCGCCGGGCUAAACCGGGCGAGGUCCAUUCAGACUGCCAACCUAGAGGCGGAUAGAGGGGUGCGGAAUUCCGGGUGUAGCGGUGAAAUGUGUAGAGAUCCGGAGGAACACCAGUGGUGCAAACGGCGCCCUGGGUCCGAACUGACGCUGAGGCACGAAAGCGUGGGGAGCGAACGGGAUUAGAUACCCCAGUAGU